rnacentral:rRNA from 1 species
ACGGAAGGCGGCAGUGAGGAAUAUUGGUCAAUGGGCGGAAGCCUGAACCAGCCAUGUCGCGUGCAGGACUACGGCCCUACGGGUCUUAAACUGCUUUUGCUUGGGGAUAAAGUGGGGGACGCGUCCACUAUUGCCGGUACCAAUCGAAUAAGGAUUGGCUAACUCCGUGCCAGCAGCCGCGGUAAUACGGAGGAUCCGAGCGUUAUCCGGAUUUAUUGGGUUUAAAGGGUGCGUAGGCGGGCUGUUAAGUCAGCGGUGAAACCCCCGGGCUCAACCCGGGGACUGCCAUUGAAACUGGCGGCCUAGAGUACGGUGGGAGUGCGCGGAAUGUGUGGUGUAGCGGUGAAAUGCAUAGAUAUCACACAGAACACCGAUCGCGAAGGCAGCGCACUAGGCCGCAACUGACGCUGAGGCACGAAGGCGCGGGGAUCGAACAGGAUUAGAUACCCUGGUA